UGUGUGACAGCGCUGUGUAUGGAUCAGAGGAGGGGGCGGAGCUACACGGGACGGAAGGGGGCAGAGCUAAACGGGAUUGAAGGGGGCGGCGCUAAGAGGACCAGGCUGCUGUAGAGAGAGGGACAGUAAUUACAGUGGCGGCCAGCAAGACUUAGACCUGUAUUCCAGUGAGAAUUUGGUUAGCUCUUUAUGGUCGUGCAGCCAUUUAAACUCGAGAGGCCAGCUCCCCUCUGCCAUGCAAGUAAGGACCAGCCGAUUCCCUUCUAGAUGGACUUGACUCCGCACCGGUUCAGUCUUGAAGUACGGAGGGACAUCAUCUGAAAUAAAAGAUAUUAAAAAUGUGAAGAUUGCUCUCCACUGUGCAAGACGAGGCUGAUUUAUGACAGUACUUUGGAGCACCAAACCCUUGAGUUUGGCCGUCCUGCUGUUCAUUUGGGUAUUAUGACUGCUGCUGCUGUAAAAGUGACA